rnacentral:tRNA from 1 species
UGUUUUUCAGCUUGGUUCGGGCCUCCUCAGUCAUGCCGGGGAAGACUGCAUUCAGCAGGGAAGGCUCGCUGUUCGGAUCAGCGGCGAAGCAGC